CGAGAUCCCAUACGAUCACCGAAGUUAAGCAACGUCGAGCCUGGUCAGUACCUAGUUGGGUAACCGCUUAGGAAUACUUCGU